UACAGAGGUCUCAAGCGUUGUUCGGAUUCAUUGGGCGUAAAGGGUGCGUAGGCGGCGCGGUAAGUCGGGUGUGAAAUCUCGGAGCUUAACUCCGAAACUGCAUUCGAUACUGGCCGUGCUUGAGGACUGGAGAGGAGACUGGAAUUCAUGGUGUAGCAGUGAAAUGCGUAGAGAUCAUGAGGAAGACCAGUGGCGAAGCGGGUCUCUGGACAGUUCUGACACUGAGACACGAAGGCCAGGGGAGCAAACGGG
rnacentral:rRNA from 1 species